UCAGUAGCUAAUUGCAUCUAUUCUUCCCCUUGGUCACUGGGAAAUACGGUAGGUUUACUUCAUAGUCUCAAGUUGAGGAAGUACUUUCUGAGUGGAAGGAGCAACUGUGAUAGCAUUAAGUGUUGUGAGGCCCCUGGGAAUCUCAUGUCAUGAUGAUCCUCUGGGAGCAGGGACUCCAUAUGUUACUGCAACAGCUGAAGCCAUGUGUGGAAUGCUGCCAGCACAUGCCCAUUCUCAGCACUCAUUCAAACCUUGAUUGGACCUGAGUGGCAAGUGUGAAUGUGUAGCCACUUUGAGAAGAAGCCACCUUAUUGGAUCUCCAUGACUGGCUUUGGACAUUGCAGCUGGGGCGUGGUUGUGUAGGUGAGAUUUGACCAUUGGGUCAGUAAGGUAUAAAACAAAAGGGGAACUUUGAACAUACAUCUACAUUUAUUUUCCUUCAAUGUUCAGAACAUUCUGAUGAGCUCUGAUUAGCUGUUUUUAUAACUUCAAGGCUGCACUUCAUUGCUUUCUAGAUCAAAUAUAAAGAUGGUGACCUCUCAACAGUAAUCACUGACCCACAUAAAUUUUGGGCUAUUUCAGAAAAAAAAUCAUCACCUGCAGCUUUCGCCACCAAUUCGUGGUUCAAAUCCAUAAAGUAAAUAAGAAUGAAAUCAAGUGCCUUAUUAGCAAGAAUCGCACUAAAGGUCUCCCAAUUACCAGAUGUAAAUGAAAACCAGAUGCUCUUGGAAAUAAAAUAUUCCAUCUUGAAUGCCUGCAAGGACAUAUGAUGCUUCCUGACCUGCUCGGUAUUUUCAGCGUUUUCCUUUAUUUCAGAAUUCCUGCAUCUGCAAGUUUUAUUUUUGCAUUUCAAAUAGAAUCUACGUAGCCAUAAAUAUCUCUUUUCUCAUUAUUUCUUGUAUCCAGUUAAUGGGCAUCUUCAUCUUCUUCAAGUGACUGAUCCGAUUAUAUGAUUUAGGAAUAUGGCCUCUACUGCAUCAAUCUUUACAUUAAUCUUAAUGCGUAUUGCCAAGUUUAUCCCAGUUCCCUCUAUUCCAGUGAAUUACUUCAUUUGCUUCAUUGAAAGCACAUUAAGAAGUUCAAAACAAAGUGAUUCAUUUCUUACUAAUUAUAUAAAACUACUAUUACAUGGUUGACUACACUGGUACAAUUUUAGCAUCUUAACCUGAACCAGCAUGCAGAAUGCUAGAAUUUCAACAUACCAAUCAGACCCGUUAACACACAUGUUCAAGGAUGAUGUUUCAUGGAAUAUAAGAAAUAGGAACAGAUCCCUUAAGCCUGCUCUCCCUGAUCUUUGACCUCAAGUCCAUUUUCCCACCAGAUCUUUUAAUUCCUUUAGCAAUCCAAAAAUCCACUGACCUCAGAUUUCAAUAUUCUCAACAACUCAUCACCUUAAGCACAAAUAGAGUUCCAAAUAUUUGUGGGGAGAAAUCAGUCCUCGACAGCUAUUCCCUAUUUUUAGUUGACGUGCACUCUCUACAAAUUCUCAGCCAUGGGGAACAGCUUCUCACCAACUCCCAGUCAUGCCUUCUCAGAAUUUUACAUUCCCUGUAAAACAUCUUCACUUUUAAAUAUGAAUGGAAUGCAAAAGACGCUCUUUCAAAUAUUUGACAUAUAAUUGUAAUAAUACAUGUAAUUAAUGAUUUGUAACCCAGUAUGGUAAUAAAAUCUAUAUAGCCUGCUGAUUUUUGAUAGAUGUUAAAUUAAAAUCUUCAUGGCCUUUGUAAUUCAAUGAGCAGAUGUAUAUUCAAUUAGCUGAAAGUCCUCUAAUUUUUGUUUUACAAAAUGUGGUUGCAUGAUUUUAAUAAAAUGUUUGAAGUGGAACAUUUUUGAUGAGGAACAUUUUAAAGUUAAUUUUUCAAAAUCCCGCAACUGUGCAAGCUUUUUUUAAAUAAUUUUGCAGCUUGUGAAACUAUGUGUACUCUGGCUCAUCCCUUCCUGUACAUGCUGCGAUACGCAAUCUAACUGUCCCUGGACGUUUCCCAGUGGAUUUGACCUUUUCAUUGGCUUGUAAUAAUGUUAUUUUAAGUUGACCACAUUGUUUGCAUAUUACCAUGGAGUUUAUUGCAUGAACAAAUACUCAAAGUAAUGAGGCCUAAAAUAAAUGUUAAAUGUAACGGAAAGGUUUUUCCUUUAUUGCAUACAGUGGAGUCAGCUAUAAGCUUGGCUCUAGACAUUCUCUGGAAGUUAAAGAACACAUAAAGGGAGCUUGAGACAGUUAAUGGAGAUGUCUUGAGGACAGUUUGUAUUAUGGCCGAGGAGAUUUUGGACGUCCCAGGGCAUAUUAAGGUAGGUAAAUCUCCCAUGCCUAAUCAGAUAUAUCCAAGGACACUCUGGGAAACUAGAGAAGAAAUAGCAGAAGCCCCGGCUGAGAUAUAUGAAUCAUCAUUAGACAUGGGUGAAGUGCAGGAUGACAGGAGGGCAGCUAAUGCUGUGCCUCUAUUUAAGAAGGGCUGUAAGGAACAGCCUGGGAACUAUAAACCAGUAAGCCUAACAUUUGUAGUAAAUUACUGAGGAAGAUUCUGAAGGAUAAGAUUUAUAUGCAUUUAGAUAGACAAGGGCUGAUUAGGGAUAGUCAGCAUUGUUUAGUAUAUGGGAGAUCGUGUCUUGCCAAUUUUACUGAAAUUUUUGAAGAAACUUAACCAAUAAGGUUAAUGCCUUAACCAAUAAGGUUAAUGAGGGCAAUGCCAUCGAUGUUGUCUAUAUUGACUUUAGCAAGGGUCUUUGUUAAGAUUCCGCACGGCAUGCUGUUCAGGAAUGUUAGAUUGCAUGAAAUCCGGGGAGAAGUAGCUUACUGGAUACAGAAUUGGCUUCAUGGAAGGAAACAGAGGAUGAUAGUGGCAGAUAUCUUAUCAUACUGGAGGUACAUGCC